AACGCACAUUGCGCCCGCCAGCAUUCUGGCGGGCAUGCCUGUUCGAGCGUCAUUUCAACCAUCAAGCCCCAGGCUUGCGUUGGAGCCCUGCGGCCGCCGCAGCCUCCGAAAUACAGUGGCGGGCUCGCUAUCACACCGAGUGCAGUAGAAUACUCUUCGCUCAGGGCGUGUGGCGGGUGCCGGCCGUGAAACCCCCCCCUUCUGAAGGUUGACCUCGGAUCAGGUAGGAAUACCCGCUGAACUUAA
rnacentral:misc_RNA from 1 species